AGAAAGCUCAAUGUUCCAAUCCCCACUAUGCACAAUCCCAUGGCAUGACAAGGGACACACACUCCUACCUCAACACUCACAACACCCAACGAUCAUACCCACACUACGCCAAUGGUCGCGCAUUAGACCUCAGAAAGACGUCUCACCACACCCUUCACCGCUCUACCCCUUGGCACACAAUCCAAAGUUCCUACCGGGAACAUACCCGCACUUCUUCUCCCAAUUUCCAUUGGUCCAAAAGACGAGAUACC